rnacentral:misc_RNA from 1 species
GAGAGAUCGAAUCUCUAUUUGCUUCAGUUUCAGGUCUUUAGGGGGCUUGGUGAGGUUAAACUUAUGCGAAGAAGUCUUCGCUCUGCUUGGCAGAAAGCUAGCAUUGUUCACGAAAAGCUUAUAUUCGGAGCGUGGUUAAAAUAUGAGAAGCAGGGGGAAGAGAUUAUUACCGACUUACUUGCAACUUGUGAAAAAUGCGCACAAGAGUAUGGACCUGUUGAUAUUGCUACCCAAUUCCCUGUAGAUAAUGGGGUAGAUGCUGGAAAUCCCUACGACACUUGUGUAGCUGAUGGGAACCCAGUAUCGGAACAUGUCACUUUUAAAAUUAAUGAUGAGGAUAUUGUUUGUGAUAGGCAGAAAAUUUCUGGUCUCUCAGCUCCUUUUCAUGCUAUGCUUAAUGGGUGCUUCACUGAAUCAAACCGUGAGGUAAUUGACCUGUCUGAAAACAAUCUUUCCCCUUCGGGUAUGAGGGCUAUAAGGGAGUUCAGCAACACAGGGAAUUUGGGUGAAGUUUCUCCUGACCUUUUGUUGGAAAUAUUGAUUUUUGCAAAUAAAUUUUGUUGUGAAAUGCUCAAAGAUGCAUGUGAUAGAAAACUAGCAUCUCUUGCAUCCACUAGAGAAGAUGCUGUGGAGCUCAUGGAUUAUGCCCUUGAAGAAA